GAUGAACGCUGGCGGCGUGCCUAAUACAUGCAAGUCGAGCGAACGGACGAGAAGCUUGCUUCUCUGAUGUUAGCGGCGGACGGGUGAGUAACACGUGGAUAACCUACCUAUAAGACUGGGAUAACUUCGGGAAACCGGAGCUAAUACCGGAUAAUAUUUUGAACCGCAUGGUUCAAAAGUGAAAGACGGUCUUGCUGUCACUUAUAGAUGGAUCCGCGCUGCAUUAGCUAGUUGGUAAGGUAACGGCUUACCAAGGCAACGAUGCAUAGCCGACCUGAGAGGGAGAUCGGCCACACGGGAACUGAGACACGGUCCAGACUCCUACGGGAGGCAGCAGUAGGGAAUCUUCCGCAAUGGGCGAAAGCCUGACGGAGCAACGCCGCGUGAGUGAUGAAGGUCUUCGGAUCGUAAAACUCUGUUAUUAGGGAAGAACAUAUGUGUAAGUAACUGUGCACAUCCUGACGGUACCUAAUCAGAAAGCCACGGCUAACUACGUG
rnacentral:rRNA from 1 species